rnacentral:rRNA from 2 species
AGAAUUUGAUCUUGGUUCAGAUUGAACGCUGGCGGCGUGGAUGAGGCAUGCAAGUCGAACGGAAUAAUGACUUCGGUUGUUAUUUAGUGGCGGAAGGGUUAGUAAUACAUAGAUAAUCUGUCCUCAACUUGGGAAUAACGGUUGGAAACGACCGCUAAUACCGAAUGUGGUAUGUUUAGGCAUCUAAAGCAUAUUAAAGAAGGGGAUCUUCGGACCUUUCGGUUGAGGGAGAGUCUAUGGGAUAUCAGCUUGUUGGUGGGGUAAUGGCCUACCAAGGCUUUGACGUCUAGGCGGAUUGAGAGAUUGACCGCCAACACUGGGACUGAGACACUGCCCAGACUUCUACGGAAGGCUGCAGUCGAGAAUCUUUCGCAAUGGACGAAAGUCUGACGAAGCGACGCCGCGUGUGUGAUGAAGGCUCUAGGGUUGUAAAGCACUUUCGCUUGGGAAUAAGAGAGAUUGGCUAAUAUCCAAUCGAUUUGAGCGUACCAGGUAAAGAAGCACCGGCUAACUCCGUGCCAGCAGCUGCGGUAAUACGGAGGGUGCUAGCGUUAAUCGGAUUUAUUGGGCGUAAAGGGCGUGUAGGCGGAAAGGAAAGUUAGAUGUUAAAUCUUGGGGCUCAACCCCAAGCCAGCAUCUAAUACUAUCUUUCUAGAGGGUAGAUGGAGAAAAGGGAAUUCCACGUGUAGCGGUGAAAUGCGUAGAUAUGUGGAAGAACACCAGUGGCGAAGGCGCUUUUCUAAUUUACACCUGACGCUAAGGCGCGAAAGCAAGGGGAGCAAACAGGAUUAGAUACCCUGGUAGUCCUUGCCGUAAACGAUGCAUACUUGAUGUGGAUAGUCUCAACCCUAUCCGUGUCGUAGCUAACGCGUUAAGUAUGCCGCCUGAGGAGUACACUCGCAAGGGUGAAACUCAAAAGAAUUGACGGGGGCCCGCACAAGCAGUGGAGCAUGUGGUUUAAUUCGAUGCAACGCGAAGAACCUUACCUGGGCUUGACAUGUAUUUGACCGCGGCAGAAAUGUCGUUUUCCGCAAGGACAGAUACACAGGUGCUGCAUGGCUGUCGUCAGCUCGUGCCGUGAGGUGUUGGGUUAAGUCCCGCAACGAGCGCAACCCUUAUCGUUAGUUGCCAACACUUAGGGUGGGAACUCUAACGAGACUGCCUGGGUUAAUCAGGAGGAAGGCGAGGAUGACGUCAAGUCAGCAUGGCCCUUAUGCCCAGGGCUACACACGUGCUACAAUGGCCAGUACAGAAGGUAGCAAUAUCGUGAGAUGGAGCAAAUCCUCAAAGCUGGCCCCAGUUCGGAUUGUAGUCUGCAACUCGACUACAUGAAGUCGGAAUUGCUAGUAAUGGCGUGUCAGCUAUAACGCCGUGAAUACGUUCCCGGGCCUUGUACACACCGCCCGUCACAUCAUGGGAGUUGGUUUUGCCUUAAGUCGUUGACUCAACCUGCAAAGGAGAGAGGCGCCCAAGGUGAGGCUGAUGACUGGGAUGAAGUCGUAACAAGGUAGCCCUACCGGAAGGUGGGGCUG